rnacentral:misc_RNA from 1 species
GUGAAUCAUCAAAUCUUUGAACGCAAAUUGCACUCUCUUCGGAGAGUAUGCCUGUUUGAGGGUCAGCCUAUAAAAAUCCACAUCGUUGCUGUCUCGCCGUGGCUUUCGUCGGAAAUUGGGUUAUCUUAAAUCUUUGUGUUUUAAGCGUCAUAAUAUUUUCUUUUGGUUCUAUGAACCUUUCCAAGAUCUAUUUCUUUACAUUUUUAAGUUAUCGGU